CCCUUCCCUUUUCAUGCCCUGAACAGUUAGCAUCCAGGUCUUUCACGUGAAGUGCUGUGGAACAGAAGCACACAGUGGGGUCACAGUCCAGCACUGAAGAACAUCGAGGCAAGAAUCCAAGCAGAGCGGUUGAAGCUUUCAAUGGGAGGACCAAGAGGAAUGAGGAAGCCAGGCACAACAUAACAUGGAGUUCCGACAGUACCCAAGCAAGCUGGUGUGCUGUGGAGACACCUGGUCCUCUGUGCUGCAAACAGACUCUGCUGCAUGCUACUGCCUGCCUGCCUACUGUGAGCUGAGGUGUGCCUGCUGUUCUGCUCCCUGGAGAAAUUGUUUUGAAGAUACAGUUGUUUCUACUAUCCAGCUCACCUGUUUGUUACUUAGUGGAGUUGAAAGUUGUGACCCUCAAAUAGCUACUUACUCAACUACGUUUUCACAAAUAGGUUUUGUUCUUGCUUUUUAAAAACUAGUACUGCAGAUGUGAUGCAAGGCCAAAGUACAUCAAGCUGGUAGUAGGAUUUGUCUUCGUCUACACGGAGCUGCUUUUCCAGGGAGUUUUCUGUAAAGGUUAAACUGAGGAGGGACAAACAACCCAGACUGUUGCUAUUGUCACAUGGGCUGGGACCUUGGACUGAUCAAAAAGGGAAAAAGGAGAAAGCCAGCUGGGUGUGACCAUUGGUGACCGCUGCCAGACUCUGGGUGCAAUGUGAAGACCAUUGCCAAGUGCCUUCCACAGUGGAUUUUAUCCUCUAAAACUAAAUAAACUCUCCUUUCCUUGAGU
ensembl:lincRNA 1700112H15Rik RIKEN cDNA 1700112H15 gene